AACAUCCGGUUUGAAUACAUGUGUUUUCUGACUUUUCGGAUAGCCAACUCUUGUUUUUUGGAACUUACGACUUAUGGCAAGAGAGAAGAAAACUGUGUGACGUUAAAAGAAACCAGUGAGAUAAAAUCAUAGAAAAUGUAUGAUGAUUCAGGAUUUGUGACAUUAAAACAGGAAUUGUCAUCACCAAUAGACGAAUUUCAAAUUCCUAAGAGUUUUCUCCAAUUGUCGGCGUAUCGCUCAUUUUUCCCACUUUGUCCUUUGUCCUGUUCUGUGGAUGCCCUCAGACAGUGUCUACCCAUCACUCCAUGUGACCUUGGACUAAUUUUCUAGGUCAAAGAUCAUAGGUGAUGUGAAGAAAACCAGGAAACUGAUGUUGAAAGAAGUACUUAAUGACCCUUAUGAAUGGACUUGAAUGUGAAAG